rnacentral:rRNA from 2 species
GCUUGCUACUUUGCUGACGAGCGGCGGACGGGUGAGUAAUGCUUGGGAACAUGCCUUGAGGUGGGGGACAACAGUUGGAAACGACUGCUAAUACCGCAUAAUGUCUACGGACCAAAGGGGGCUUCGGCUCUCGCCUUUAGAUUGGCCCAAGUGGGAUUAGCUAGUUGGUGAGGUAAUGGCUCACCAAGGCGACGAUCCCUAGCUGGUUUGAGAGGAUGAUCAGCCACACUGGGACUGAGACACGGCCCAGACUCCUACGGGAGGCAGCAGUGGGGAAUAUUGCACAAUGGGCGCAAGCCUGAUGCAGCCAUGCCGCGUGUGUGAAGAAGGCCUUCGGGUUGUAAAGCACUUUCAGUCAGGAGGAAAGGUUAGUAGUUAAUACCUGCUAGCUGUGACGUUACUGACAGAAGAAGCACCGGCUAACUCCGUGCCAGCAGCCGCGGUAAUACGGAGGGUGCGAGCGUUAAUCGGAAUUACUGGGCGUAAAGCGUACGCAGGCGGUUUG